AUGCAUGUGCCACCAAGAGUUUCUCCAAGAAUAAUAAGGCCAUCUCUGCCUCCUAAUUCUGCACAAUUUAUUCAUCCACAAUCAUUGCGGCCUUUUGGUGGCCACAUAGGAUUCCAUGAACUAGCACCUCCAGUGGUAUUUGUCCCAGCUCCAGCUCCAGCUCCACCCCUGGAUUCACUAAGAGGUGUUCCCUUUGUGCCUCCAAUGGCACAUCCCACUCUUUAUUAUGCAGGGGGCCAGACCCUCAGUUGCAUAGUAUGA